CCCUACUCUCUCUCUCUCUCUCACCUUAACCCUACUCUCUCUCUCUCUCUCUCUCUCUCUCUCUCUCUCUCUCUCUCUCCUCAUGUUCCUCAUUUUUUCACAAAACCUUCCACUUUCAUCUUCUUCCACCGCUACAUCUUCCACCGUCUACUUCUGAAACUCAAAUUUCUCAUUUCAAAACUAAUCUAAUCCUUUAGCUUCUAUCAUUUCAAAACUCAAUGUUCUUCUUUCUUUUCUCUAUUUCAGAAUCAAAGCAUAAAUAUGGAUCUGAGGACGAACAAGGGAGUAGAGGAUGAAAGGCUACUCCUGUGGCGGUGUGGGAUUCGUGAGGAACGUGUGGUGGUCGAUCACUAUUUAUGCGAUUUGAAGGUUUUUUUUACAUGCUUUAUUUAUAUGUGCAAAUUCUAGGGGUUUCAAACUGUUGGAUUCAAAUUUGGAGAGGUCUGUCCUUCUGAUUAAACUCAGAUCUGAGAGGUAUCGCAAUCGCGGCGACGGUGGUGGCGGGGAUGGUUUUGCGAGAGGUUAAGUUUGGGCUAUGUGGAUGUUGAAAGUUGAUUAUGCGUUUGUUGAUUCCUGUUCGCUUGAUAUCUCCUCUGGCACCACUGCUUCAACUGCUCUUGUAUUUGGGAGGAUACUGAACUUGUAUUAUUAUCAUUACUCUUUGGUAACCAUAUAAUGGGCAUUUGCUUAUUUAGUUAUAAUUUACUUGGGAAAAUCCAAAGAAACUUGGAUAAUGUUUUUGUCCUCUCUUAUUGGAGAUGGAAGGCAAAACUUGCAGAAAGAAACAUAUAUUUGAUUUAAUUUACAUGUUGCAUGAUUUCUUUUAA